UCUGACAUUAGAACCCAUCCAAACAACAGAACAUAUAUACAUGGCUCGUGGAUGAAGAGAGUAAACACAAAACACAAGAAAACAACAUAAGAGGAGGAAGAAGAGCAAACCAGAGAGAAAAUGGCUGCUGAAAGUCACUGAAGUGCAAAAAGCAUGGGAUAUUGGAGGAACAGAAAGAUGGCUGCUAAACAUAGUUCAUCUGUCUUGGGACCCCAGUGAGCAAGCAAAGUGAAGGACAACUUGUUGAAGGCAUGGAUAAGACAGCAAAGCAUACAAGUGAUCCUCCCCCCACCAGACAUUCCCCAGGGCUGCCAUAACAAAGUACCACAAACUGAGUGGCACACAACAAGAGAAAUUUAUUAUUUUAUUGUGGUGGAGGCUAGAAGCUCAGAAUGAAGGUGUUAGCAAAGCCAUCGUUUUCCUAAAC